CCAGACUCUUCAGAGUCUGCUCUUAACAGCGCUUCUCCAGUUACCUCUGAUGGAAGCCCAGUUUCCCCCCAGUCCCUCAGGGACCUGACUCUUGUAAAAUACAGUAAUAGAUGAAUUAACAGAAAAAGGAUCAUGCGCUUAGAUGGCGUGGGCAACUGGCAAAUUGCUGUGAAUGCUUCUGGAUACUUCAGUUUCUACACCUAUCACGUCGGGGGCGGAGCCACAGGGACUGAGAAACGCUAAUCCACCUAACUGUAUCCCCGCUCAGCUACUGAGGAUGGGAAGGCAUGAGCUGGGCGCUAGGGGGGAAAAAAAACCCAAACACUUGUAUAUAUUCCAAAGGCUGAACUGUUCACCUCAUUCCAGUGGUGCGCACUCCAGUACUCAGGAUGCGCCAGAGCGUCCCGCCCCGCGUUCCCGGUUCGGGUGACUUAGGGCAGGGUGCCCCGUUACCGUCCAGGGGUGAGAUUCGUUAGCUCCAAAGGGCCCUUCCAAAACCAAAGCGCUGGGAUUCGGCCUCCUUUUGCAACCCCCCAGCUCAGCAGAAAUGUUUGCAAGGGCCAGCUGUUUUUGCUCCCGCAUUCGUUAAUAAAAGUAGUGAAUGCAGCCAGGGCCACCCUUUUCUUUCCUUUGUCCUGUCCUGAAAAGGGGCAGGGAGGGAACAGGAGAGCCUGCAGACGCAGGGGACGUGCCAGACGUGCAACAGGAAGGGCUCGGAGAUGAGGACUGAGAGGAAGGAAGGCAGGGAAGAAGGAAAGGAACUUUCCUCGGACGUCUGGUGUGCCGGGCGUGGUGGGAGUGCCUGUAACAGGAGGAGGCUCACCGUGUACCUGUCCCGUGCUGAGAUCCACGUUAAAGACAGAAAUGAAGAAGUUAGCAGAGAGAAGGAAGAAAGGUGCUAGAAGAAGGGGCAGAGUGAUGGAAGGACUACUGCGAGGUAGAAAGGACUCCCAAGAAAAGGUAGACAGGGGACUUCCCUAGAGGCCAGAUGGCUAAGACGCCACACUCCCAGUGCAGACAGCCUGGGUUCGAUUGCUGGUCAGGGAAGCAGAUGCCACAU